rnacentral:rRNA from 1 species
AUGGGCCAUGGCUCCUGGAAUGGGCUAUGGCUGAAAUCUACAUGGCCCCAGGAUGGGACUGCGGCCGAUCAGGUUGUUGGUGGGGUAAUGGCCCACCAAGCCUAUAACCGGUGCGGGCUCUGAGAGGAGGAGCCCGGAGAUGGGCACUGAGACAAGGGCCCAGGUCCUAUGGGGCGCAGCAGGCGCGAAACCUCCGCAAUGGGUGAAAGCCCGACGGGGUCAGUCCGAGUGGUUCCCGCUGAGGGAACCUUUUGCCAGCUGUAAACAGGCUGGCGAAUAAGGGGUGGGCAAGUUUGGUGUCAGCCGCCGCGGUAAUACCAGCACCCCGAGUGGUCGGGACGAUUAUUGGGCCUAAAGCAUCCGUAGCCGGCCCAGUAAGUCCUCCGUUAAAUCCAACGGCUCAACCGUUGGGCUGCGGGGGAUACUGCUGGGCUAGGGGACGGGAGAGGCGAGGGGUAUUCCCGGGGUAGGGGUAAAAUCCACUGAUCCCGGGAGGACCACCAGUGGCGAAGGCGCCUCGCUAGAACGUGCCCGACGGUGAGGGAUGAAAGCUGGGGGAGCGAACCGGAUUAGAUACCCGGGUAGUCCCAGCCGUAAACGAUGUAGGCUCGGUGUUGGGCUGCCUCAGUGGCAGCCCAGUGCCGCAGGGAAGCCGUUAAGCCUACCGCCUGGGGAGUACGGCCGCAAGGCUGAAACUUAAAGGAAUUGGCGGGGGAGCACCACAAGGGGUGAAGCCUGCGGUUUAAUUGGA